rnacentral:lncRNA from 1 species
AGCCAAACCAAAAGAGAAGAGAAACCAAGGAAGAACAAACCCUAGGUGGGAAAAAUCAAAGAGAAAGUGUUGAAAUUCAAGGAUUUGAUCAAGUAAAGGUAAAAUUUCUUUGAUUUUGCUAGUGAUUUACCUUACCCAUGCAUUUUCUCUUAAUUUUCAUGGUUAAAUUACAUGUUUUCAUGAUGAAUUCAUGGCUGGUCAAAAUGGGUAUGGAGAAAGAAUGAUCUUGAAUUGGUUUGAUUUUUAGGUAUGUUAGUGUUUUUAGGUGAUUAAUUAUGUGUAGCAUGAAAACAAAUGAAGAAAACCACCAAAGGUUUGGUGCCCAUCAAUAGCCAAAUUCUCUAAGUGAAUAAUGAGGAAGAAUGAGAUGUUAUUCUAGGUGAUUUGAUUAAGAAAUAAUAGUUUUUAGUGUAGGAAUUAAUGAAUUAUGGAGAGAAAAUUAAGUAUAAAAAAUCACGAAGUUAGUGUACCAUUGUUGGUCGAAAGUUCCAAGAAGAAAAGUGAAGAUAAAAUUUGUCUAAUUGUGUGUUAAUUAAUUGUGCUUGGUGAAUUGAGGGAUUGGAAAAGAAAUGGAGUAAGUUCGAGUGAAAUUGGACGCAUUGGCCAAUUUAUCGAAUGAAAAAUCGACUUAGGCCAAUACCGGGUCCAGAUGGCUACCCGUGCAUUUUUCAUUUCAUAUCAUGCAUAUAUAUCGAGCCUAAAAUAGCUUAUGACUGUUAGACACAAUUUAAUUAGAAUAUGUGUCAUGGAUUAUGGCUAGGUGGUGAGCCAUUAGAUACGGGUAAAGGACUGUACCCGUGGGCUGAAAAUAUGAGUAUUUCUACUCUAAAUAUUGUGAGUAAACUUAUUAUCAUCUUAAUUAUCUAGAGUAGUUUUAUACAAUUGUGUGAUUUUAUAGAAAAUGGGUUUAAAUGGUAAAUUGCUAUGUUUUAGGAGAAAUUGUGAUUUUAUAAAAUGAUUUUAUAGAUUUUUUGGAAAAUUGAAUACUGGUUUUGAAAAUAGAGUGAUUGGAGACUGCCCACUUGUGUUAUAAAUUGUGUUUUAAAUUAUAUGGCUUAUAGCAAUAUGUGAGCAUGAAUGACAAAGUCUGUGUUUGUAUCAAAAUUAUAUAUACUAUGUAUUCAGCCUUGAGAGGCUAUAUUGCGAUAAAUUACCAUGUCAUGCAGAAAAGGAUUUUAUAAAUCAGGUGGUAGAUAAAAGAAUUCAUAAUCCCUGCAGUGGAGGUUCUGUGGACCAGCCUAAGAGAGGGGGCACAGAAUCAGAUAUUC